rnacentral:misc_RNA from 1 species
GUGAAUCAUCGAAUCUUUGAACGCACAUUGCGCCCGCCAGCAUUCUGGCGGGCAUGCCUGUUCGAGCGUCAUUUCAACCCUCAGGCCCUGCCUGGUGUUGGAGGACUGCGCAUGCAGCCUCCCAAAGCAAGCGGCGGCGGCGCCCCAAAACCGAACGCAGUAGUAAUAUCUCGUUCUGGGUCUGGGUCGUUGUCCUGCCGGAAAACCCCCAUCUUUUUAAUGGUUGACCUCGAAUCAGGUAGGAAUACCCGCUGAACUUAAGCAUAUCAAUAAGCGGAGGA